rnacentral:tRNA from 1 species
UUGAGAGAGACAUAGGGGCUAUAAUAUUGGCUUGAAACCAUAUUUUGGAGGUUCGACUCCUUCCUUUCUUGU